rnacentral:lncRNA from 1 species
UGUUUCUCGUUCCCUCUGCAUUCUGCCCAAUGUUGCCAACUUCCCUUGUUCAUAAUAUUGUUCAGCAUAUUGCCACAAAUGCUUGCAAAUGUGUGGUUCAGUGAGAAUCAGCAGUUCAGUGAGGUUCAGCAGUUUCCUAGCAUAUAACAUUCCAAACUUUCAUUGUCAGCAAAGGGCUCUUCGCAAAAUGGCUACUUCUGUCCAACCCAUUUUUAUCAAAAUGUAGGGGAAAGACUAUUCUUGGGGUACCCUCCGAUUACAGGUUCUAGUCCAUGAAUGCUUAAGUUGCAAAUUCCCAGCAAUGUACCUUUUUGCCAUUUUUAUUCAUUUGCUCUGAACCAGUGGUGUUCAGACAAUUGCAAAGGUCCUCUUUUAUGAAUCAAUGAGAACUGCUGGCUUUGUGAUGACUUCAGGAGAGGUAAAUCCUCACACUUUUUUGAGAUUUUGCUCUGUAGUGGUCACUUGCUAUUCCUGCUACUGAAUUUGGUCAAGCACUUUAAUCCUAAGCACAACUACAACCCACUGAAACCCCUCCAAGUACUGUGCUUAGGAUCAGGGUGUUUAAAAAAAUGUUCCUCGCACUAGCACGAAGCCACGCCUCUUAGUAUUUAUAUUGUGAACAACAUAAUGUAGAAAAGUGCAUGGAGGUCGUGCAGGGAAAUUAUAUAACCUGUUUAUGCAAAAACAGUAUUGUGCAAGUCCUGUUAGUACUGAGCUAUGGGUAGCCAAGCAUGUGGGCAAGUGAAAGUAGAAGUCCCAUCAUGACCGAGGCUAGAGUUGUGAUGGUGCACCGGGGCAAAUCCCAUAGGAGGGCCUAGGCAGAAUGUAGAAAGCAAGAGCCAUAGAAAUGUAGCACAGCAGAGGUAUAGCUGAGCAUAGUUUGGGGAACAGUUCACUGGGCAAGAUUGGGUAGGAGCAACAAGUAAAAAGAAAGGCAGGCAGAUGAGGAAGCUAGAAGACUGGCAGGCAGAGAGACCCAAGAAUAGUGACAAAAAUUGCUUUAGGAGGAGAGCUACAAAGCCACAUAGCAGAGCCAGAAUUUGGUUGUUGUCAAAUCAAAGAGAGCCCUGACCAGGAAGCAACUGAAAGCAAUGAGGGUUAGGAGGAAUUGAUGGGCUACCUGCAAGGACCCAUGCUGGAACGUUGGAAGAGAAAAAUUGGCUCACCACAAGAGCAAGGAAAGGAGGGUCACCAGCAUGGACAGCUGCCUUAUACUGAGUCAGACCAUUGGUGCAGCCAGCUCUGUAUUGCCUACACUGACUCAGCAGUGCCUUUAUGCAUUUCAGACAACGGUCUGUUCCAGCCAUCCUUGGGAGACGCUGGGGACUGGAACAAAGCAGACGCUCCACCACUGAGCUAUAGCCCUUCCCCAAGUACAAUAAUGAGAAACACACAAGGUAUUGUGCAGACAAGCUGCAUUUAUUACUUAAUCACUUGUUCCCAAUGCAUUUGGGUUGCUUUUCCUCGAGGGGAUUUAUCCAGCAGUUAGCUCGAUACAUACGGCAUCUCUUGCAAGCAGAGGGGUGCUGUGUCUCCAAACAUGAUUUCUAUCACUUCCAAUGGGUGGCCACAAGGGGCACCAAUGCACACUUUGGGAAAUUAGUUCAGUUAAUUCUUGACAAUUAGCAGAAGAGGUAAAGUAGGAGCGAGGGGAGCCAUGCAUGUCCAAGCAAGCGUACAAGAACUCCAUAUAACUUUGGAGGAACUCAUUUAUGAAAACUUAAAAGUAGCCAAGUAAGCAAAAACCUUGGGUAAACCUUCAUUAGGAUAGAGCAGGAUUUUAGUACGUUUUGAAAGCUAAUGAUUAAUGGAUGCUAAGGCUAUGGGAAAUUGUGGUGCUAAUGGGAAAAAGACUGUAUUUCUGUACUGCAUGCAGAAGGUCCCAAAUUCAGUCUUGGGUAUCUUCAUUUGAAAGAAUCAUAGGUGGUUGAACAAGGAAAGAGUCUGCCUAAGAACCUGCAGAGCAGCUGUAUUUCUAAGACAAUAAAUGCAAAAACCGUAUGGCAAAAAGAGACUGAAUCCAUGGGCAUGACUUGUUCAAACUAUUUUUUUAUAUAAGCUCUGGAUCUAGUAACAAAAGUAAUUCCAUAGCAAUUUACCUUUCUUGCACGGUGCGACAUGAUAACUUUAAAAGUAUUUCACAACAUGGAAUCAAAACCCAGGGACGCUUCCAUAUUAAUACAAUUUGUGUGUUGGAACUUUCAUACAGAGUGGUUCGUUUUUCCUCGCUGUAAAAGCAUAAUGGCAUCCUAGAUUAAGGCUGCAGUUCUAACCCUCCCUCACCUGGGAGUAAGCAUGAUUAGGCUCACCUGUAGGUUAUGUUUUUAAACCUACUUGCACUGUGUCUAGCACAAUGUAUAAGUUAAUGGAAGAUACCAAUGAAUAGUCUUGACUGGUGCUGUUCAGCAUUUCAAGCGUUUUCAUAAGGCACUUUAGAAUGAGCUUGUCCAAAGCCAUUUCAGGUCAAACCUGAAACACAUAAGGUGUUCAGUUCUCUCAUUAACCUGGUUUUUGCAUUUGCAGGAGGAAAUCCUGUUUUCCCUGGAGCGAGGGAAAGGAACCUGUCACCCUCCAGAUGUUGCUUUCCUAACUAUUGGCCAUGCUGGCUGGGACUGAUUGGAGUUCAAGUGCAACAAUAUCUGGAGGGCCACAGGCUCCCACCCCUCCACACCUUGUUCAGCGCCCAGAUGCUAACAGUAUACCCUGGUAGGUUCUGAUAUACAGCAAAAUGAGUAUUGGUGCAGCAGUAGAGGCAACACGUUGCAUGCAGAAGGUCUCAAAUUCAGUCUCGGGUAUCUUCAUUUGAAAGAACCAUAGGUGGUUGAACAAGAAAAGAGUCUGCCUGAGCAGCUGCCUGCCAGAGUAGCCCAUCCUGGGCUAGAUGGGCUAAUGGUCUGAAGCAGAAUAAGGCACCUUUGUAAGUUCCCAACAAAUUGUUCUCCUCUUUCCUAAAAAGGAAAGCACUUAAAACCCUGCCUAAGCCACUUUGACGGUGGAGUCAGCAGCAGAGAGGCCAAGACCCUGACUCGCCACCCUGUAAAGUGGCCUCCUUACAAAUCCUGUUGCCACUGACUGGUAAUCACAUAGUACCAUUCAGGAGGGCUGAAUUUAUAUGGCGGGGGGCUUGCAUUUUCCCAUGCUCUUUAGAUCUACUAGGACAGGGGUUGCUCUCCAGAUGUUGUCAGGCUCCAACUCGCAUUUGUCCAGCAACAUGUGGAAGGUCACAGUUUCUCCACUUUUUAUUCUUCUGAUCCAGUACUGCUUUUUAUUUUUGAAUGAUGUGUUCACCUUAGCAAGAUCAAAUACCAACUGAGGUCCCCAUUUUCUCCACAUAUUUGGCGUGUCCUUCCUGAAGAGCCAUCGGUAAUAAUCUGUUCUCCUUGACUCUGCAUCUCACACUGUGUCCCUCAACGCCAUAUUGUAGUGGUCUACCUAAAAUGCCUUCCCCUUCAGCCAUUACACCUUUGCUUUUGCCACAUAUUGAUGACAGAAUGGCGUAUAUGGUGGGGAACACCUGCAUUCCGCCUCAGCCGCUUGCUGAUUAGACCCUGUUAUAAUAUCCCCUCUCUUGUUAAAGAGAGUUGUGUGAAAGGCUGUGUGUCUGUGGGUUCACUGUGUAAACACAGAAGGUUGGUGCCUGGGGCAGAAUUUGCCCUCCUGAGAACCUGAGCAUUCAUAUAAUAUUAUAUAUAUAUAUGUAAAAAUCAUCGCUUCAAAGACCUGUUUUAUAACUUGAAAUCCAGAAUGUGGGGAAUAUGGUGCAUUCUCUUAGAAUCAAAACACGUUUUCAUUUGUACAUGUGCCAUUGAGUAGUUAUUAUUAUUAUUAUUAUUAUUAUUAUUAUUAUUUAGUCAUGUAUUUUUAUUUCCUCACAAGUUAAUAUUCCUUCAGUCCUAGGGCCUGAACAUGCAAAUAUACAAGGGCGGUAUAAUUUGUAGCCUGCAGUUAAGCUAAAUGUUUCAGUUGGUUUCAGCUGUGGUCCCAAGUACAGCUCCAUUGUAAUCAGUGGGAUUUAACUUCUAUGCAAUAGCCUUAAUCCAAUGGUUCUAAUGGAAGUCUAGAACGUCAUGGUCAUGGAGUUUCACAUCUAAGCACAAGGAGAUCACUCUAUACACGACAAGAAUCUCCUGUCCAUGCAUGGAUCCCUUCAUGGAAAAGAACGGGAAGGUUCUGCACACGCAGGUCUUUAGAUUAUGGACCGUGUCCCCUGGUUCUAAACUCUGGGUGCUCAGAUGUGUAAGCAGAGCUCCCAUGUAAAUGGAUCCCCCCAUUCACUUGAAUAGAUGGGAGCAGCACUGGGCUAUCCUAUUAUCCCAUACUGAUAAGAGUAUGUGUGCAUGUAGAGUUCCCAUGCUUCAGUUAGACUAAUGGAGUGAUCCUAAAACUUACUGUCCCAAAUAAAUCUUGUUGAUUGAGCAUCCCAAGUACCAUGAUACAAAAUGCAGCUGUAUCCAUUUUUGCAGACAGAUAUGCCAGUGCAAAUAUUGGUGACAGGGCUACAAAUCAUCCUACUAAAGUCAAUUCCUCUAGCUCAGCUGGCUUGGGCUGUUACAAGAAUAGAAUAAAAUCUCAAUCUUCAACCCAUUUAUCCCCGAGUAGUUUCAUUUACAUUUCUUGAAGUCAACUGACUUUUCUACAGGAUCAUUGCAGUGCAAGUCAUUUCAAGACGACAUGUUUCAGGGUCUCGACCCUAAGCAUAGUUGGUCUUCAACAUCUUCCAUUGAAACCAAUGAGAUUUACUUGGGAAUAAGUGUGUUUACAAUUGCAAGGGAGUGUUUGCAGUCUCAGGUUCCUGGUUCGUAACUGACUGAUGCAGUGAGGACACAUGGUUAGUAACAGCACUUGGACCCAAUUGUUGGGGUCAACAUUUGUUGAAAAGAUGGACAUUUAUAUCCAAGUUAUUUUAUCUGCAAUGUAAAUGAUUACUAUUUUAAUUGAUGUGUGCUUUUCUAUACUAAAAUGGAUACUACUAUUGGCUUCUCAGAGUAAAAAACAAGUGUAGUAUAUUACUAGCCUUUUUAGGGAACGUGUCAGUAGCUGCAAGUGUAGAAGGUCUGUGCUUUUACAAUAUAGGUUGCCUUAAAAUGUUUUAGAUAUGCAAGCUGCUAAUCUGAUUGUAGGGACUAAAUGUUAGACAGGAUAUAAAGUACAUAAUCUGAGUGAGCCGCAUAGUAUAAUAUUUGCAUUUUGCAACUGAAGAGAGAAAGCUUAUUGGACGUAGUAUUUUUUAGGUCUCGUUUGUUUGUUUUGUUUUUUUAAAAUGUAUGUAAACUUGAAAGUUUUGGUAAAGCGAAAUGUACAUGUAGAACAGUAGAGUGGAAAAGGAUCGUGCUGGAAAUUAAAAUUAGAAGAAAAGAGCUUGAUUUAUUUUCUGUGUUUUGGUUUGACAUUGUCACUAGAAACUAGUCAGUGACGGAUACCUAAAGCCGUUUCACUGAUUUCUUGUCAUUAGAGUAAGCCUUAGGUAUCAUUGUACAUAAAGGUUUUUGUAACAGGAGGAGAGAGGGCCGUUGUGCUUGGAUCCUGCUUACAGGCUUCCCACAGGCACCUGUGGGAAAAGGAUGCUGGACUAAAUGGGCCACUGGUCUGACCCACCAGGCUCUUGUUAUGUUCUCUUAACUAUGGCUUACAAAGUAUUCUGUGUUUAUUGAUAGGAUUGCCAGCUUACCACAAAAGCUUUGACUAGCCUGCUCCCAUUUCUUUAUUAGUGGCAUUAUUUGCUGAAAUCAGCAAAUGACCCCUUUCUCAUCACUGAGAUGAACAUUAUCACUGGCUAAUGCUUGUAGAUCAAGCCGCUGAUUAAAAUGCUGGCAACCUAAUUGUUGAACCAUAAAUGAAAGCCACAGAGUUAGAAGUAAAUAUUGGCAUCUGGAUAUAAAAGUCUGUAUUUCAAAAGUACCGUUUUCAUGGUUUAGGCUUAGUUGCAAGAGUUCAUGCCUACCAAAAUAUUGAUUCAUUAUGUGUAUCCUUGUAUAGGCGAAUGGUUGGGGGAACAUAUUAUGGUGAGAUUUGCUGUUAAAUGGCUUUAUCUUUAUUUUUGUGAUAUUCUUUACCAAGAUACUAAUCAUUGUAAAUUAAGGGGGGGGGGUUAAACUAGCAAGUGUCAAAAUGGGAGUUUUUGGGUCAUUCUCAAACAAAUAUUAAGUGUACUUUGAACUUGAUGCCCUGAAUAAUUUCCUGUAACUCUGCAAUGCAGCAGGGACUCAUCAUAUUCUGAGAGACAUCUUUUUGUAAGGGAUGCUGUUUUAAAAUCUGAAAUACUUGUGAAUUUAUAAAAGCCUUGGUGUACAAUGAUAUGGUGUUUUAAAAAAAACAGAUUAACAUCACCUGGUUCCUGUGA